UACGGAGGGGGCUAGCGUUGUUCGGAAUUACUGGGCGUAAAGCGCACGUAGGCGGCUUUGUAAGUUAGAGGUGAAAGCCCGGAGCUCAACUUCGGAAUUGCCUUUAAGACUGCAUCGCUUGAACGUCGGAGAGGUGAGUGGAAUUCCGAGUGUAGAGGUGAAAUUCGUAGAUAUUCGGAAGAACACCAGUGGCGAAGGCGGCCAACUGGACCAGAACUGACGCUGAGGCGCGAAAGCGUGGGGAGCAAACAGG
rnacentral:rRNA from 1 species